CCUACGGGAGGCAGCAGUGGGGAAUCUUGCACAAUGGGCGAAAGCCUGAUGCAGCGACGCCGCGUGGGGGAUGAAGCAUUUCGGUGUGUAAACCCCUUUCGAUCCGGACGAAUGCCCGCAAGGGAGUGACGGUACGGAUAUAAGAAGCCCCGGCUAACUACGUGCCAGCAGCCGCGGUAAGACGUAGGGGGCCAGCGUUGUUCGGAAUUACUGGGUGUAAAGGGUUCGUAGGCGGUGUGGCAAGUCGGGAGUGAAAUUUCUGGGCUUAACUCAGAACCUGCUUCCGAAACUGCUGUGCUGGAGUGUGGGAGAGGCGCGUGGAAUUGCAGGUGUAGCGGUGAAAUGCGUAGAUAUCUGCAGGAACACCCGUGGCGAAAGCGGCGCGCUGGACCACUACUGACGCUGAGGAACGAAAGCUAGGGGAGCAAACAGGAUUAGAUACCCUGGUAGUCCACGCUGUAAACGAUGGCAACUAGAUGUGGGGGGUGUCGACUCCCCCUGUGUCGAAGCUGACGCAUUAAGUUGCCCGCCUGGGGAGUACGGCCGCAAGGCUAAAACUCAAAGGAAUUGACGG
rnacentral:rRNA from 1 species